rnacentral:pre_miRNA from 1 species
AAUGUAUUAAAUGUUAUGGACACUAGAUGACAUAGGGUUGAUGAUGGUCUAAUAUGUUGUCUUAUGAUAGAAAAUUAAUGUGUCAUUUGGUGUCAAAACAAAAGUUUCAAUU